GCCUGUGUCUGGCCUCACCGUCCCCGGGCCCGAGCCCACGGUGGGCAGGGACCGGCGUCCAUCCCUGAGACCGGCUCUCGCCCACCUGCCCACCCACCUGCCCACCUAAUGGAGGGACACGGGGACAGAACGGAUCCAUGGUGCAUCUACAACUCUGCGCAGCGCUCUUGUGUCUCUGCACAUCUUUCCAGGAGAAGCUCUGGCUGCCCUCUGUCUGGACCGUCAUGUCAAGGAUGUUUGUACGGAGAACAGCCUCAAAAGGUCGAGAUAGUGUGUUCCCCCAAAGCAAAGGUGUGGAAACGCUGCUUUCACUCUCGGCGCAAAAGACAAGGGGUGACUUCUCUUCCACCAGCCAUGUUUUCUCCCAGCGAA